rnacentral:lncRNA from 1 species
AACAACAUUCAUAUUUACUAUUGCAAGAAGGUGGAGAGAAUUCACUUUUACUGCAUUGUAAGUUAAUGAAGGUGAUAAUCCUUUAGAAAUGUUUGCUACAAAAUCAUGGUGAGUUGGUGCCAAAAAUUUUGUUUACUUGGAAAUUUGAUGCAGCAAAAAUAGCAUAAAGGUUCACGGAUUAAAAAAAACAAACAAGCCUUUUGUGUUUCCUCAUUUACAUCUUCAGCAAGACACAACCAGGCAGAGUACACAAGAGAUUCGUAAACAGUCACGUGGUGAGUGAAUUUCUGCCAAUGAUCAAGCAGCCCUUUGUGCAAAUGGUUUCCCUGAAUCAACAAACUGUCUUAUCACUUCAAAUAAUGAGGAGACUACAGGUCAAAAUAAAGUUGAGGAAAACAUAACACAACAAUUGCUUAAUCUAAUAGCAAAAAGUUGCAAUUCAGUAAAUGGGGCAGGUAGUAUAUCAAUUCGCUAAUGGUUGUUAUUGUCGGGCAUAAGGAAAGACAGUAUACAUUCAAUAGAGUUAAUCUCUUUGCAAUUUUUUACAUAAACCACACAUUCAUUAACCUAUUUACAGAUAAAAUACACACCAAACAUGUUAAGACAAUGUAAAAUGCAUGCAGGAACUCAUUAGUUGAACAUGUGUGAUCAAACUUAGAAAAAUAAAUCAAAGAAAACAAACGUAGCACACUAUAUACUUUAUUAUGUUCUCCCUCUUAUUCCACCAAUCCAAACGUUCUAACAUCAAGUUUUAUCAACUAGACAGAGUCGAAAAAACCUAGUUCCCCCAUUGACAAGUAUAUGUCCUAAAAAACAAAAUAAUUAAAUUUGUAAUUUGAACUUUGAGCUCAUAUCCUAUUUGAGACAGCCUUUAUAUAUAUAUAUAUAUAAUGAUGCAAAAAACUAAACUGCCUAACAAGUUCUCCUAUUAACAUUGACCAAGCAUUUAAAUGUGUCAAAAUGGUAAAGAAUGACUGUGAUAUACAGAACAAGUUCUUGUCUAGCAAAGAAUCAUUCUAUUACUUUUUUCUUUUUCGGCUAAAUAGCAAAUAUUUCUAUUUGGUUCAUUUUAUUGCUCCAACAAAACCAAUUUCAAUUUGCUGCUAGAUUUGCUCAUUACAGACAUGUACUAGAUGCAUGAGCUUAGUAAAUAAAAGCUUUUAUGCACAAAUUUCAAGCUGCUUCAGUGCUUCUACAGAAUUCCCUAAAAUUCUAAACUUUUUUGUCACUUUACUAGAAUGAAAGAAUGCAAUUUAUAAGCACCAAGUUACUGUACAAAGCUUAAACAAGCGAACAAUGAAACUACAAGGUAACACUAACAACAUUCAUAUGAUUUUGUUAAAGUCUUAAAAACAACAAAUAUGUGAAAUGAUAAAUUAGAUGUAUUCAAUUGGAUUUUGAAAUAAACCUAGAAAUUCAGUCUAAAUUAAGAAAUUGAAAUAGUAUAUCUGCUAGUAGACUAAAAAGUUGAAAGAAGAAUCAAUAAUAAUAAAAGGCCUAAGGAACAUUAAUCAAAGUACUUACUUGCAACGAAACUCAAAAUGACUUAGUGCCGAUUUCCAGUCAAUUGCGAACUAGGGUUACAAUUCCAAAUCGCAUAAAUCUCAGCAGGGAGUUAUGUUAUCAGUAAUUUUGACCCAAUUCCUUUUUACACAAGUUGUCGAUCCCAAUUCCGUUUCACAACAAGUUGUUGAUCUUCAGACACAAGGAACUAGGGUUUCAAUUCCAAAUCGCAGAAAUCGCAGUUGGGAAUUAUGUUACCGGUAAUUUUGCCCCAAUUCUUUUUCACAGCGGGGUCAGCUAUGGUUAAUAUGUGUCCGCUAGUUAUUCUAGAGGAAGACGAGUCCAGUUUUU